UCCAGACUCCUACGGGAGGCAGCAGUCGGGAAUAUUGCGCAAUGGAGGAAACUCUGACGCAGUGACGCCGCGUAUAGGAAGAAGGUUUUCGGAUUGUAAACUAUUGUCGUUAGGGAAGAUACAAGACAGUACCUAAGGAGGAAGCCCCGGCUAACUAUGUGCCAGCAGCCGCGGUAAUACAUAGGGGGCAAGCGUUAUCCGGAUUUAUUGGGUGUAAAGGGUGCGUAGACGGAGAAACAAGUUGGUUGUGAAAUCCCUCGGCUCAACUGAGGAACUGCAACCAAAACUAUUUCCCUUGAGUGUCGGAGAGGAAAGUGGAAUUCCUAGUGUAGCGGUGAAAUGCGUAGAUAUUAGGAGGAACACCAGUGGCGAAGGCGGCCUACUGGACGGUGACUGACGCUGAGGCUCGAAAGCGUGGGGAGCAAACGGGAUUAGAUACCCUAGUAA
rnacentral:rRNA from 1 species